UACCUUUCAGACUCAGUCUGGCCUUUUUGGUAUUUAAGGAAGGAACGUGUUCCAACUUUUCACAUUUCAAGUCAUCGAGUUUCAGACUUAACUUUACUCUUGUGGUUCAAUUGGCGGCUCACCCAUCUUACAUCUUAUAUCGUUUCUGUUUUACUCAUCGUCAUCCUCAUCUUCAUCAACAUUUUCAUCAUCAAUUGACAGUUAUCUUAUUCAAGUUUAACUGGAUAUUUUGACUAGUGAAAAGGAGACACUUUUAUUUUAAAAACCGAACAAGUCAAAUUCAAUUUUUUGAUUUUCUUAUUGUUUCAUCUUAACCAAGUUUAAAUCGAGAACAACUUAAACCGAUACCAGGAAAGUAUGUACAACGAAGAUGUUAUUCAAGAAGCUGUGCAAGUCUAUGAAGAGCGCAUGAAUGAUCUGAUGACCGAAAACGGAGAUAUUGGUUCAGUUUACGAAUUAAGACGAAAACACAGUACUGCUAAAUUUGAGGCUGUUGACCAUUUUAUUAAGAAUUGCCGGUUUGAGGUGAAUCCUUGGCGAUUGGAAAAGGAAUUGCGUGAAAAAUUUGAUAAACUUGUUGAUACAGUUAAGAAACACCGAAAGAAUCGUAAAAAUAAUAUGUUCUCUGACAAUAAGUCAAUUAACAACAUAUGGAGUUCAAUUUGUCACAAGCCAUCUGAAAUAGCAAAUCAACAAUGAAAAUCUUCAUGGAUCUUUCAGCAUUGUUUUUUUCGACUUAAAUCGUUGUCACAUACAAACACAAAAUCAUUCAUCGUUUUGUACAGUCCACAUAAAUUGAAAUCAAAACAACUUAAACGAUACGGAAAACAAUAUCUCACCCUAAAAUGUCUUACUAAUAACUCCACUUGAUAUGUUUUUUUCAUCAAACGGAAAGCUUUGUACAUUUCAGCAACUUUCUAGCUGACAUUUAAAAAACUUAUCACUUUUUUUUCAUAAACUAAAACUAUUUAUCCUCACCUGAAAUGAAAAUCAAUAAACAAACAUUACUAUGUUCAGUUUUA